AUUGAACGCUGGCGGCAUGCUUUACACAUGCAAGUCGAACGGCAGCGCGGGGCAACCUGGCGGCGAGUGGCGAACGGGUGAGUAAUAUAUCGGAACGUACCCAGGAGUGGGGGAUAACGUAGCGAAAGUUACGCUAAUACCGCAUACGUCCUAAGGGAGAAAGUGGGGGAUCGCAAGACCUCAUGCUCAUGGAGCGGCCGAUAUCUGAUUAGCUAGUUGGUGAGGUAAAGGCUCACCAAGGCGACGAUCAGUAGCUGGUCUGAGAGGACGACCAGCCACACUGGGACUGAGACACGGCCCAGACUCCUACGGGAGGCAGCAGUGGGGAAUUUUGGACAAUGGGGGGCAACCCUGAUCCAGCAAUGCCGCGUGAGUGAAGAAGGCCUCGGUUGGUUAAAGUACGU
rnacentral:rRNA from 1 species